rnacentral:rRNA from 1 species
GACAGAGGGUGCAAACGUUGUUCGGAAUUACUGGGCGUAAAGGGCUCGUAGGCGGCCAACUAAGUCCGACGUGAAAUCCCAAGGCUUAACCUUGGAACUGCGUCGGAUACUGGAUGGCUUGAAUUCGGGAGAGGGAUGCAGAAUUCCAGGUGUAGCGGUGAAAUGCGUAGAUAUCUGGAGGAACACCGGUGGCGAAGGCGGCCCGACUGGUCCGGUACUG